rnacentral:lncRNA from 1 species
UUUGCCGCUAAGAGCCGUACAGCUCCUAUUCCCCUUCUUUUUCGCUAACUUAUCGGGAACAUCAAUCGAUCACGCGGUUUCCCUAGCUUGCUCCGACCAAUCACACUUAUAGAUAUCUCCUUUCUCCAUUCUUAAAGAACUCAAAGCUUUUCUUUCUUGAACCAACUCGAACCAUCACGGCAACCACCACCUCUCACGGCCGUUCCGAACACACACCCUCACCACCCCACAACACAUUUCGCCGUACCUUACAACCCAUCGAAGAUUCAGACGCCGCCGGAAUCCUUUCGGGUUCACAACAUUUCGUUUCGGUAUACCUUCUGUCCAUUUAUUCGUUUCUUUUCGAGCCAUUUCGGAUGUGGGUUAACGGUUACAGUGGAUGGGUGUUUUGUAUGGGUUUGUUUUGAACAAAGAAGAUGAACCAUAACCAGGCUCAUUGCUGCCACUUGUUCGGACUGAGUUCGACCGCCGAAUAACAAGAAUACAAGAGAUACAUGCUCUGUUCGAAGAAAACAAUCAUAAACAACCUUCCGCAGACCGCUUGCACGCUCGCCGGAACUCGAAGAGGUCACCGGAGGACGAGCCAGAACCGUUUCGUCGGUUGAUGAUGAGGAAAUGAACGAGGUAGCACGAUGCCUAGAUACACGCUUUAGACGUUAGGCUUAAUAUGUUGUAUCGAAUUUUGGUUAUGUUGGUUUGUUAUUUUGAUUAAACUUGUUGUUAUUUGGGAUCUUGUAUAGAUGACUACUUGAAGUUUGGAAAUGAAAUUUG